CUUCAUCAUCAGAUCUACGCUCUCCACACUCCACACACCUAAAUCCCUCUCCUCACCGCGUCGCCGCCGCUCCUCACCGCAAUCGCAUCCAGAAUAGCAGAGAAACAGAGGAAAAGGAAUAGAAACUCGUCGACUCUACCUUCGUCCGAGUUGGACUCCUGUUUGUUCCACCUCAGUCUCACACCAGCCGUUUUGGAAAAUUUGUUGAGAUUCAGUUUGAUAAACAUGGAAGAAUAUCAGGAGCAGCUAUCAGGACCUACCUCCUUGAAAGAUCCCGUGUUUGCCAAGUUUAUGAUGCUGAGCCUAAUUAUCACUGCUUUUACCUACUUUGUGCAGCACCACAAGAGGUUUGAUACAGCUAAAGUUACAGUACCGAUUCAAAUUUCUAGUCAUUUUGUUAUUUGACUGGUUGGUAGAUAAGAUAAAUGUUUCAAUUGGGCAAGAUUCCCAAUCAAGGUGUAUCUUUGGGGUCCUUGACAUUUAUGGUUUUGAAAGCUUCAAGCACAAUAGGUAUAACAACUACUAACAUCUGGGAUUUCUUGCAAGCACAAUAGGUCUCCAACCCCACUGCCGCCGCUCCACGCCGCAAGCAAAGUCGCAAACUCUAUGUCAGCGUUCCGCAGCAGCUCUAUCUGAAAACCUUUUGCACGCACUAUCAUAUCCUUCAAGAAAGAGGCUAUCGAACCGGGAUCGAUAAUCUACUCGUUUUGCUCAUUGGUGGCAUUCCAAUUUCCAUGCCAACUGUUCUUUCUGUCACCAUGGCUAUAGGCUCUCACCGUUUGUCACAGCAGGUCAGUAGAUUCAAAACAGUGAUUCUUGCUUUUGAUCACAACUGUGUGUCAUCGAGGAGAUGGCCGGGAUGGAUGUGUUGUGUAGGUGAUAAAACAGGCACUCUCACACUCAACAAGCUUAGUGUUGAUAAGAACUUGAUUGAGUUUUUUCCCAAAAAUAUCGACAAAGAUACAGUUGUAUUGUAUGCUGCAAUGGCGUCGAGUUCUGGAAGGAAUCACAAGCAUGAGACUUUUUUAGCUUCAAGUUCUGGCAGGAAGAUUCUUGUUUGGGAUAUUAGCAGGUAUUUCUUCAGUACUGUUACAUGGUGCAUAGCUAUAUCUAUGAAGAAUUCAAGAAAUGAAUGCAUUGUUAUAUGAGUUUUUUACUUUUCUUGAAAUUUCUGUCAAAAAUAUCCCCAAAUUCAAAGAUAGAUAUACAAAUGCAAGAAGAAAACAAACCUGUGUGUAAUUCACUUUUUUGGCUAGUUGUGGGAUGAAUGCAAGACUUAGGAUACCACUAUCCUAAGCACAAUCAU